rnacentral:rRNA from 1 species
UACGAAGGGUGCAAGCGUUACUCGGAAUUACUGGGCGUAAAGCGUGCGCAGGCGGUUAUGCAAGACAGAUGUGAAAUCCCCGGGCUCAACCUGGGAAUUGCAUCAGUGACUGCAUAGCUAGAGUGCGGCAGAGGGGGAUGGAAUUCCGCGUGUAGCAGUGAAAUGCGUAGAUAUGCGGAGGAACACCGAUGGCGAAGGCAAUCCCCUGGGCCUGCACUGACGCUCAUGCACGAAAGCGUGGGGAGCAAAC